rnacentral:rRNA from 1 species
AUUGAACGCUAGCGGGAUGCUUUACACAUGCAAGUCGAACGAGUGGCGGACGGGUGAGUAAUAUAUCUGAACGUGCCCAGUAGCGGGGGAUAACUACUCGAAAGAGUGGUUAAUACCGCUAACCAUUGGAGCGGCCGAUAUCGGAUUAGCUAGUUGGUGGGGUAAAGGCUCACCAAGGCAACGAGCCGUAGCUGGUUUGAGAGGACGACCGGCCACACUGGGACUGAGACACGGCCCAGAUUCCGACGGGAGGCAGCAGUGGGGAAUUUAGGACAAUGGGGGAAACCCUGAUCCAGCCAUGCCGCGUGUAUGAGAAGGCCUUCGGGUUGUAAAGUACUUUUGGCAGAGAAGCGGUAUCUGCAGAAUAAGCACCGGCUAACUACGUGCCAGCAGCCGCGGUAAUAC